UUCUACAUCUGUUUUUUAGCAAAACAACAACCAUCCAAACAAGUAAAACUGGAUAACAAUAAUCAUCAAUAUUCAGUUGGGGAAAAGAAGCAAACUGGCCUCACUGCCGUGUUCCUGAUUCUUGGGAUUUGUGCAGGAGGAGCAGCACUGCUGUCCAUGUAUUAUUACAAGAGGCGGACCCAGAAACGUCAAGGACCUAUCGUACUGGUUCAGCAGACUCUUCCAGUUCUCACCUGCUAGAUUAAACAAACAAGUUUCUGAAAGCCAAAACCUCAUAGUUAUUCGACACACCAUCUGCAAAAGAGAAAACGUCAGCUGCGCACCCCUUAGCAAUGAAGCACAGCCACCAGCUGAAGAAACCCUUUUAGACAGGACCUCACAGUAAUGUUCAUAAAUGUGCCUCCACCACUCCCAGGUAUUUCUUGAGGACUGAGAUUGCCCAAGAUGUUCAGCUCCAGGCCUUCACCAGCAAUGCUAGAAACUUCCUGAAGCUCCUGUCCUGUACUCCCUUGGUGCUUGGCUGAGGGCCACCGUCAUCACAAGGCUGAGUAGCUGGCUCAGCAGCUCAGCCUUAGACCAGCUGACUCCUCCCAAUGGAUGAUCUGACAGUUUCAACCAUGCAAACCAAAGUUGUUUGGAGAACUGCGUCUGUGCUCAGGAGAAGUGUGUGCUGAACUGCAACAGAUGUACUCUAUAUGUUUUCCGUGUCAUAAUGCAAUGCCAUGGCUGUGGUUCUUCAUCCUUGAGCUCCCAAGUGGUCUCUGCGCUUACACAAGAAGGCAUUUAGUGAGGUGACUGUUUGUUUAAGAACAGAGGCCUGAUCUUCAAAGCAGAUGUCCGAAACCGAAAUUGAAAUGUUAAUCAUGAAUGACAACAAAAGAUAUGUUAAAAAUUAACUUCAGAAAUACAGAAAAGUGUCUGUUCUUCUACUUCGCUCUUAUUAGAUGCAAGAGACUAGAGCUUUCCACAACCCCAGCCAUAGCAGUGGGGGCUUUACGCUCCUGCUGACCUAAAGUAAUCUUAACUUGGCUCUCUAAUGUGGUCUUCUAAUGGGAAAAAUGCAUGUCUGCAUUUUAUACAACUUCAUGUUCUUAUGCGUGCUGUUCAAAUUGAUGGUUGAUGUCCUUUUUUUUUUUUUUUCUGUAGGCCCUCUUUUCUUUGUAUACCCUCAGGUUCUGAGUUCUUUGGGAAAGGAACAAGAUAUUUGAGAACUUACAUUGUAUUAACUUGUAGGAUUCAGAUUUAAUAGUGAGCAGAUUUAAUUUCUAAUCUUUAACACCAGUUGGAGCCAGAGAGCUGGUCAAGUUUUUAGAAGCAAGCUUACCUGCAUGAGCUUACCUGUUCAGCUGUCAACCACAAGAUGCAGUCACAAGCUGGUCUUUGUGGCUCACCCAGACACCUUUCCUUCCAUUUCUUCCACCUUUCAGCUGGCUAUUAUGCAGCUGUGAUGUUGAGAGGUGUCACUACCAGCUGUUCCGCUUUGUAGCUCCUGGGCUCUGUUUUCCUGGUAACACCAAUUAUUCAGUGUCUUGGGGAAAAAUUACUUUAAUGAUCUAUGCUCUUUGCUUGAAGCAAAUGAUUUAUGUUAGUUUAUGUGAACUUUUACAAAUAAAUAUAUGCAUGCAUAUACACAUUUCUUAAAUAAAGAUUGAGAAUACCAGGCAGCUUGACUUGGUAAGUGGCAUAAUUUGACAACUGUAAUUUAGUUUUCAUGAGUUUUGUGUUCUUAUGCUCACAAAAUUGUUAAGGUUGGGGAAGACCUCUAGAUCAUCCAGACCAGCCAUCCACCUACCACCAAUAUUGCCCACUAAGCCACAUCUCCACGAUUCUUGAGGACCUUCAGGGACAGUGACUCCACCUCCUCACUGGGCAGCUGUGCCAAUGCCUGACCAUUCUGUUAGAGAAGAAGCAAGCUGAACCUCCCG
ensembl:lncRNA